AGUGAACGCUGGCGGUAGGCCUAACACAUGCAAGUCGAACGGCAGCACAGUAAGAGCUUGCUCUUACGGGUGGCGAGUGGCGGACGUGUGAGGAAUACAUCGGAAUCUACUUUUUCGUGGGGGAUAACGUAGGGAAACUUACGCUAAUACCGCAUACGACCUACGGGUGAAAGCAGGGGAUCUUCGGACCUUUCGCGAUUGAAUGAGCCGAUGUCGGAUUAGCUAGUUGGCGGGGUAAAGGCCCACCAAGGCGACGAUCCGUAGCUGGUCUGAGAGGAUGAUCAGCCACACUGGAACUGAGACACGGUCCAGACGCCUACGGGAGGCAGCAGUGGGGAAUAUUGGACAAUGGGCGCAAGACUGAUCCAGCCAUACCGCGUGGGUGAAGAAGGCCUUCGGGUUGUAAAGCCCUUUUGUUGGGAAAGAAAAGCAGCAGGUUAAUACCCCGCUGUGCUGACGGUACCCAAAGAAUAAGCACCGGCUAACUUCGUG
rnacentral:rRNA from 1 species